rnacentral:rRNA from 1 species
GACGAACGUCGGCGUGCUUAACACAUGCAAGUCGAACGGAAAGGUCCGCAUUACUUUUGGUGGGGUGCUCGAGUGCGAACGGUGAGUAACACGUGGGUGAAUGCCCUGCACUUGGGAUAAGCUUGGGAAACUGGUCUAUACCGGAUAGGACCAUGGUUUAGCAUUCAUGGUGGAAAAAUAUUGUUCUGGUGUAGGAUGAGCCCGCGGCUAUCAGCUUGUUUGGGUAAUGGCCUACCAAGGCGUCGACGGGUACCGCCUGAGAGGGUGGACGGCACAUUGGGAUGAGAACGGCCCAGACUCCUACGGGAGGCAGCAGUGGGGAAUUUGCACAAUGGGCGCAAGUCUGAUGCAGGACGCCGGUGGGGAUGACGCCUUGGUGUAAAUCCUUUCGUUAGGAGAAGCCGCGUUUGGUGUGGUGACCGUACUUGUUAAGAAGCACCGCUAA